rnacentral:rRNA from 1 species
AACGUAGGUGGCAAGCGUUGUCCGGAAUUACUGGGUGUAAAGGGAGCGCAGGCGGGCUGUCAAGUUGGAAGUGAAAUCUAUGGGCUCAACCCAUAAAUUGCUUUCAAAACUGAUGGUCUUGAGUAGUGCAGAGGUAGGCGGAAUUCCCGGUGUAGCGGUGGAAUGCGUAGAUAUCGGGAGGAACACCAGUGGCGAAGGCGGCCUACUGGGCACCAACUGACGCUGAGGCUCGAAAGCGUGGGGAGCGAACAGG